AUGCAUGCCUUCAAACCACUAAGUAAGUCUUUUUUAUAGUAGUAAACUAGUAAUUGCUUUAAUUUUUCAGUUUUGAAUUGUGUUUUUGAAGUAUUAAUACAGAUGGAAAUUUAUAAUACAGAUAAACAUUCUUAAAAGUAUGGCACGCCAUUUUGGUCUUAAAAGUAAUUUACAUAUUUUUCUAAGGUUUUUAGUAAUGGUUCUACACUUUCCUAUUUUGUUAAUUGUUAUUUCUAUUUGUUGUAAUUUUACCAAUCUUUUGCACAACUGCAAGGUGUACCACACAAUAAAACAUGAAACCGUGUGACUUUUGUUUCUGUAUAGCUAUCUGUUUGCACCAGGCAGACUAAGUUUUACAACGAAUAUGUAGGUCAAAUAACAAUGCAGUCUGCACAGAAAAAAUUUAUGAGAUUAUGUGCAUCAUAUCUAAAAUGUGAAAUAAAUUACAUUUUUGUGCAUUAUAUGUAAAAUGUGAAAUAAAUUGUUUUCUUUAUAAUUUUUAAUCAUUUUUACAGAAAAGGUACAAGUUAACAGGAACUAGUUUGUAGGAUAACAUGGGAUUUUCCAGGAGUCCUAACCAUAGCUGAAGGCAGGAUUUGUAAGGAUAUCCUUUAAAGGGACUGUCUCAAGACUUCCUGGGAAAUCCUGAUGUUUUAGAAAGGUAAUAUAAAGGAGAUCAGAGAUGUUCCAGAUCGCUGGCAGCAGUCCAACCUUAAACGAGAAAUGUUUCAGCCUAGUGAUGUAUAUCUCCCUAGGAUGAACUACAACUUCAGUCUUCCUAGACUUUCAAACUAUGGUAGUUUACAAAAUGUAACCAAAGGUGAAACCAGCUUCAUCAGUGUAGAUGAUGGAGCAGAAAAUGUGAUGCAGUCAUGCAGUCAAAGUGAGGCCCAGGAAGAAUCUACUAGUAUUCGGGUUUCACAAAAAAGAAAAGUAUCCAUCUUGACCAGUUUUACCAGCCUGCAGAUGGAAAGCUUGAACGCCAUCCAUGACCGAUUUUGAAAAAAACAACUGAUCUCAUUGUAAUUCAAACUCUGUAAAUAAAACUUAUUGAGGAACAGUCCCUAUACAUAGAUUUAGUAAAGCUGGCAUUUCUGAAGCGGAAGUGCAAGAAAAAUGAAAGCAAAACUUUAAAAGUUUUGCUGGACUUCUACUUCACACCAAAGUACCUUGCAAUGCACUCUGCAAGAGAAAUCAACAAAACCAGGCCUACCAGUGACAAUUUUAAAUCCAAUUUGGGGUAUGUUCAUGGAAACUUUAUAAAAAUUGUGUGAUUUUACAAAAAUUUAUGUAUAGUAGUAAUUUAUGUAAAUAAAUUAAAAAUUACAAACAAUUAU
rnacentral:sRNA from 1 species